rnacentral:rRNA from 1 species
AUGGCGCUGUGCCGGACGGCGCCCGCCAACUCCUCCUGCUUCCACCCCCGCGCCGUCGCCAGCUCGCCCUCCUCUCUCAGCGUCGGCACCAAGGUCUUCGUCGGGUUGAAGGCCCAGACCAGGCUCGGCUCGUCCGAGUCGUCGUGCCCGAAUGUCAACGCCCGGUUCUACACCGCCGUCAACCGGAGGGUCUCCCUGGGGUUGUCAAACAAAAGGGCUACCAGGGCACGUAUUUCAAUGAUGCCUGUCGGCACACCACGGGUACCUUACAGAACACCUGGUGAAGGAACCUGGCAGUGGCUUGACAUAUGGAAUGCUUUAUAUCGUGAACGGAUUAUCUUCAUCGGGGACACUAUUGAUGAAGAAUUCAGUAACCAAGUACUGGCAAGCAUGCUGUAUCUUGACAGUGUCGAUGACACAAAAAAGAUUCUUCUAUACAUCAAUGGUCCAGGAGGAGAUCUUACACCAUGCAUGGCGUUAUAUGAUACCAUGCUAAGCCUAAAGAGUCCAAUUGGUACUCAUUGCCUGGGCUUUGCAUUCAACUUGGCAGGAUUCAUUCUUGCAGCUGGUCAAAAGGGUUCACGUACGGGUAUGCCUCUUUGCCGUGUUUCACUUCAGUCACCUGCUGGAGCAGCUCGAGGCCAGGCUGAUGAUAUAGAAAAUGAAUCAAACGAACUUAAUCGGAUCAAGAACUAUCUUUAUGGCAAGCUAGCAGAACACACGGGCCAUUCUGUUGAAAAGGUUCAUGAGGACCUAUCGAGGUCGAAGCGCUUUGACGCCGAAGGAGCCCUCGAAUACGGGAUCAUCGACCGUAUCGUCAGGCCUUCCCGGAUCAAGAAAGAGGGCGGCUCGACCACCGGUCAGAAGAAGGAGCUGCGGAAUCUGGGACUCGGCUAA